UACGGAGGAUCCGAGCGUUAUCCGGAUUUAUUGGGUUUAAAGGGUGCGUAGGCGGCUUAGUAAGUCAGCGGUGAAAUUUUGCAGCUUAACUGUAACAGUGCCGUUGAUACUGCCAGGCUAGGAUUUGGUUGCUGUGGGUGGAAUGUGGGGUGUAGCGGUGAAAUGCUUAGAUAUCACACAGAAUAUCGAUUGCGAAGGCAGCUCACAAAGCCAAGAUUGACGCUGAGGCACGAAAGUGUGGGGAUCAAACAGGAUUA
rnacentral:rRNA from 1 species